CAACAAAGGAUAGAGGAACCUGUCCUGAGGAGAUAAACCAGGAUUGCAAGGAAGAGGAAGGCUGUUUCUGCGACGAUAAACAAAGAAAACUCACUCUAACAGUUAUCCGUAACACUACCCUAGACGACGAGCACUGUGAAAACCUACAGGAGGAGUGCAAAGAGGAGAAUGGCUGUUUCUGCGACGACACACAAGCAAAGGCCAUUAGAACAGAAUAUUAUAAUAUAACAAUAGAUGGAAAGAACUCUGAGGACAUCGAGAGCAAGUGCAAAAUGGAGGACGGCUGUUUUUUCGACGACAAAAAAACAGAAUUCGUAA